AGGAAACCGCUGUGUGUGUGCAAUGCUGUAGCCGGGACAGAGGGAAGUAGCUGCCAAAAUCAAGGUCUGAGGAAGACAGGGUGCAGGCACGAAAAAGACGGAGAGAGGAAAGAGUAAAACAGGUGAGAGACAAUUUGAUUAAUUCUUGUAGUUUAACUGUUGCUUGCAGACUAAAGCAUAAUUCCUUCACUUAUUUCAGGGCCAGGAAGUGGUCCCUCCUAAGAAGUCCUGCCAUACUGAAUUAGUCUGUGCAGCAUCAGGUAUUGUUCAAACAAGUAUUAUUGUACACAACCCCCUAGGUUGUCGAAAUGGGAUGUGGGAAGAAUCAAGAUUCAACUUUUUGUCAUAUGUACAGCUAGAAAAACACGCUUUCUGCACAAUGAAAUUCUUACUUUGCCAAGAUUAGAAAAUUAAGACCGUUCCAGACGAGCACUUUUUUUUUCAAAGCAAGUUUUUCAGUCAUUUCUCUAUUUUCAUUAAACCAGAAUACUAAGCAACUGAUCUUUUUUACAACUUGCACUGUUAAUAUGCUUUUUAUGAACCACAAUCUUUUUCCUUUCUAGCAGAGGCUGAGAACUUGCUGGAACUGGACACAGGGAACAGAGAGAAUUCUCUGCUUGAGGACACCUUUGAGGCAGCAAGGUGGUGUACCACAAGGUCCUUCAAAAGAAGCCUUUCCCUUCCCCAGGUCAUCACCAUGGACAGGGAAGCUUGCCGGAGGGCAGUGGAGAGGUUAUGCUUCUGUGAUGGCCUAGAUGAAGAGGAGAUGAACGAUUGCAGGGAACCGUUCCUGUUCAUGUUUAGUUUUCAGUCAGACUAUGAGGAGUUCUGCAGAGAAAUUGAGGAAAAAAGGAAGAUCAGGGUGUUUUCUGGCUUUGAAAUGCCAUAGUACAGCGGUGUCACAGUUUUUGCAUUCUUUUUCCUCCUCACAUUGUUUUUUUGGAGGUUCUCUUGCUUUUUGUGUGCUUUUUGGUUCAUUUGUUUGUACUUUUUUUUAUUCCUGUG